rnacentral:rRNA from 1 species
GGGAUGCUGACGAGCGGCGGACGGGUGAGUAAUGCUUAGGAAUCUGCCCAGUAGUGGGGGAUAGCCCGGGGAAACCCGGAUUAAUACCGCAUACGCCCUACGGGGGAAAGCAGGGGAUCUUCGGACCUUGCGCUAUUGGAUGAGCCUAAGUCGGAUUAGCUAGUUGGUAGGGUAAAGGCCUACCAAGGCAACGAUCCGUAGCUGGUCUGAGAGGAUGAUCAGCCACAUCGGGACUGAGACACGGCCCGAACUCCUACGGGAGGCAGCAGUGGGGAAUAUUGGACAAUGGGGGCAACCCUGAUCCAGCCAUGCCGCGUGUGUGAAGAAGGCUUUCGGGUUGUAAAGCACUUUCAGCGAGGAGGAAGGCUUUCAGACUAAUACUCUGGAGGAUUGACGUUACUCGCAGAAGAAGCACCGGCUAACUCCGUGCCAGCAGCCGCGGUAAUACGGAGGGUGCAAGCGUUAAUCGGAAUUACUGGGCGUAAAGCGCGCGUAGGUGG